UUCUGGCUCAGGAUUAACGCUGGCGGCGUGCCUAACACAUGCAAGUCGAACGGAAUAUCUUCGGAUAUUUAGUGGCGAACGGGUGAGUAAUGUACAGGUAAUGUACCUUCGUACUGCGAAUAACAAGCUGAAAAGUUUGCUAAUACGGAAUAGUUUCCUUCGAGGGCAUCCUUAAAGGAAUAAAGAUUUAUCGUGCGGAGAUCAGCCUGUAUCCUAUUAGUUAGUUGGUGGGGUAAUGGCCUACCAAGACGACGAUGGGUAACUGGUCUGAGAGGAUGAGCAGUCACAUUGGAACUGAGAAACGGUCCAAACUCCUACGGGAGGCAGCAGUGAGGAAUUUUGCGCAAUGGGGGAAACCCUGAACCGCAGCAACGCCGCGUGAGUGACGACGGCCUUCGGGUUGUAAAGCUCUGUCGUGUGUGACGAGUAGGGACGGUAACACACAAGGAAGCCUCGGCUAACUACGUGCCAGCCGCGGC
rnacentral:rRNA from 1 species